UGCAGUUGUACAACAGUGUCGGUCAAAUUUGCCAGAGAUUCAUUUAUUUUAUUAGUUGAUAUAUAUACCUAUCUGGAUAACUUUGUUUGAAAUCAUCCCAAUCCCAUCUAAAUACAAUUUAGAAGGGAGGCAUCUAGGACAUAUUUUGCAAAAUAAUGUGGAGCAUAAUUGUAAUAUAUAAUAAUAAUAAUAAUUGAUAAAUACUUAUUAAUUAUACUUAUGAUAUGACUAUAAGCAAAACACAUAAGUGACAAUUGCUGAUAGUCGGUUUUUUAAGAAAGUAAUUCGCAUUUUUAAGCGAAUGUCUGAAAAUACAAAGGAUUGUACCCCUGAACCACCAGGGGGCGGUGACGGACCUGAAAGUUUAGAAUCAUCAACUGACGGCAGCUGAGGAAGAGGAGAGAAGAGGAAAACCUUACGGAUAAUAUGGUAGUUGAGUUCCAGUUUCCUAAUUAUAUUAAAUAUCAGCUUCUAAAUAAGAAAACCUAUUUUUAACAGCUCCGUCUUUUAAACGUACAAAACCAUUAACCGACAACCGCAGCAUAUUGUCAGGUCCCUAAUUUUGCUAACUUGAGCCACAAGGAGCGACAGUCUUUAUUAGUCGUUAUCCUAAAUAACAGAGGCGGUUCUUCAUCACCGAGGACAACCACAGCCUGUCAUGUCGGAGGACCUUGAAUUCGGAGAUGACCCGACCAUGAUGACCAUGGAGGAAGAUGGAGAGGCGAGCAACGACGAAGCAAUGUCUGCCACGGCUGACAGUGGCCUAGCAGGGGCCGAGUCCGAGGGAUCAAAAAUUGAUGCCAGCAAAAACGAAGAGGACCAAGGGAAGAUGUUUGUGGGGGGGCUGAGCUGGGACACCACCAAGAAAGACCUGAAGGAUUACUUCUCCAAGUUCGGAGAGGUGGUGGACUGCACUCUGAAGCUGGACCCUAUGACCGGCCGCUCCAGGGGCUUCGGCUUCGUGCUGUUCAAGGAGGCGGACAGUGUUGACAAGGUGGUCACACAGAAGGAUCAUAAACUUAACGGGAAGGUGAUCGACCCCAAGAAGGCCAAAGCCAUGAAGAGCAAGGAGCCGAUCAGGAAGGUCUUUGUGGGCGGUCUCUCUCCCGACACCCCAGAGGAGAAACUCAGGGAGUACUUUGGUGCUUUUGGAGAGGUGGAGGCCGUAGAGCUGCCGAUGGAGAACAAGACCAACAAGCGGAGAGGUUUCUGCUUCAUCACGUUCAAAGAGGAGGAGACGGUGAAGCAGAUCAUGGAGAAGAAGUACCACAACAUCGGCCUCAGCAAGUGUGAGAUCAAGGUGGCGAUGUCAAAGGAGCAGUACCAGCAGCAGCAGCACUGGGGGGGCCGAGGGGGCUACGGCUCCCGACCUCGGGGAAGAGGGGGACCCAGUCAACACUGGGACCAGGACUACGACAACUAUGGCAACCAAGGGUACGGAAACUACGGUAACUACGGCUACAACAAUCAGGGCUACGGCGGCUACGGCGGAGGAUACGACUACUCGGGCUACAACAACUACUACGGCGGAUACGGUGACUACGACAAUCCGGAGGGCGGAUACGGCAAGUCGCCGCGACGAGGCGGCCACCAGAACAGCUACAAACCGUAUUAACGCCACGGCACGGCCACACCUGUUCCAAGAAGCGGACAUUCCUUGCAGGCGAACCAGCUCCACCCCCAGAUACUCUGUGCCCGCUCAGUGCGGACGGGGUACGAGAGGCAUAGGCUCUCGAAUGCCGCCAUUUGGCUUCAAGAUGGCGGUAGAAGAAGAAUCUGCGCGGGGGGGCAACGGAUGGCGUGUGGUGUUGAGGAGGCACAAGAAUCCAGUCAGAGGUUUUCAGUCCAUUGUUUUUAAUUCAGAGGUGGUCCUCCAAUCACAUCAUUUUAUCACUAUCCUUAUUUUAUUCUAUUCGUCAAAGAUUUGACUUUUUUGCUGGGUUUUUGUGCGCAAAAAACAGGAUUACUAAGAAAGACACCACUUUCCUUUUCAAGUGAUCAACUUUUUGCAUCAACCAGUUCUUAAUGGCAGUAUGUACUGGAUAAGCUAAGCCAAUAAGAUAUUAUUGAUUUUUGUGCUGGGAAACAUUCAAUCAGUUACCUGCCAUCGUAGUCCUCAUUGUAGUUAUAAUAAUAUAUACAUUGUUACAGAUUUAAGCAGUAUUUGUUUACUUAUAUACAGUGGAAUGGACACAAACAUAACACGUGGAAUAAUAAAAAAUAAAUACAA